rnacentral:rRNA from 1 species
GUGGGGAAUAUUGGACAAUGGGCGCAAGCCUGAUCCAGCCAUGCCGCGUGUGUGAAGAAGGCCUUUUGGUUGUAAAGCACUUUAAGCGAGGAGGAGGCUCCUUUAGUUAAUACCUAAAGAGAGUGGACGUUACUCGCAGAAUAAGCACCGGCUAACUCUGUGCCAGCAGCCGCGGUAAUACAGAGGGUGCGAGCGUUAAUCGGAUUUACUGGGCGUAAAGCGUGCGUAGGCGGCUUUUUAAGUCGGAUGUGAAAUCCCUGAGCUUAACUUAGGAAUUGCAUUCGAUACUGGAAAGCUAGAGUAUGGGAGAGGAUGGUAGAAUUCCAGGUGUAGCGGUGAAAUGCGUAGAGAUCUGGAGGAAUACCGAUGGCGAAGGCAGCCAUCUGGCCUAAUACUGACACUGAGGUGCGAAAGCAUGGGGAGCAAACAGGAUUAGAAACCCGGGUAGUCC